UAAUCGGUGGAUCGGUGGUAGAAUGCUCGCUUGCCACGAGAGUGGCCCGAGUUUGAUUCCCGGCCGAGGCA